AUCCCUAUAGCGCAAUGGAUGGCGCGUUGGACUUCUUAUCCAAAUUUCGUGAGUUCGAAUGACAUCUGGGAUG